UACGUAGGUGGCAAGCGUUGUCCGGAUUUACUGGGCGUAAAGAGCGCGCAGGCGGUCAGAUAAGUCGAAUGUGAAAGCCCCCGGCUCAACUGGGGAGGGUCAUUCGAUACUGUUCGACUCGAAGGCAGGAGAGGGAAGUGGAAUUCCCGGUGUAGUGGUGAAAUGCGUAGAUAUCGGGAGGAACACCAGUGGCGAAGGCGACUUCCUGGCCUGUUCUUGACGCUGAGGGGCGAAAGCUAGGGGAGCAAACGGG
rnacentral:rRNA from 1 species